rnacentral:rRNA from 1 species
AUGAACGCUAGCUACAGGCUUAACACAUGCAAGUCGCGGGGCAGCAUGAAGUCAGCUUGCUGACUUUGAUGGCGACCGGCGCACGGGUGAGUAACGCGUAUCCAACCUGCCUGUUACCACGGCACAGCCCGUCGAAAGGCGGAUUAAUGCCGUAUGUGGUCCUUUGCGGGCAUCUAAUUAGGACUAAAGGUUCGGCGGUAACGGAUGGGGAUGCGUCCGAUUAGCUAGACGGCGGGGUAACGGCCCACCGUGGCGACGAUCGGUAGGGGUUCUGAGAGGAAGGUCUCCCACACUGGAACUGAGACACGGUCCAGACUCCUACGGGAGGCAGCAGUGAGGAAUAUUGGUCAAUGGGCGUAAGCCUGAACCAGCCAAGUAGCGUGAGGGAAGACUGCCCUAUGGGUUGUAAACCUCUUUUGUGCGGGGAUAAAGUGUGGGACGUGUCCCAUAUUGCAGGUACCGCACGAAUAAGGACCGGCUAAUUCCGUGCCAGCAGCCGCGGUAAUACGGAAGGUCCGGGCGUUAUCCGGAUUUAUUGGGUUUAAAGGGAGCGCAGGCCGUCCUUUAAGCGUGCUGUGAAAUGCCGCGGCUCAACCGUGGCACUGCAGCGCGAACUGGAGGACUUGAGUACGCACGAGGUAGGCGGAAUUCGUGGUGUAGCGGUGAAAUGCUUAGAUAUCACGAAGAACUCCGAUUGCGAAGGCAGCUUACCGGAGCGCAACUGACGCUGAGGCUCGAAAGCGCGGGUAUCGAACAGGAUUAGAUACCCUGGUAGUCCACGCCGUAAACGAUGAUUACUAGGUGUGGGGGGAUUGACCCCUUCCGUGCCGGAGUAAACACAAUAAGUAAUCCACCUGGGGAGUACGACCGCAAGGUUGAAACUCAAAGGAAUUGACGGGGGCCCGCACAAGCGGAGGAACAUGUGGUUUAAUUCGAUGAUACGCGAGGAACCUUACCCGGGCUUGAAUUGCAGGAGAACGAUCCAGAGAUGGUGAGGCCCUUCGGGGCUCCUGUGAAGGUGCUGCAUGGUUGUCGUCAGCUCGUGCCGUGAGGUGUCGGCUCAAGUGCCAUAACGAGCGCAACCCCUGUCCAUAGUUGCCAUCAGGUCGUGCUGGGCACUCUGUGGAGACUGCCGCCGUAAGGUGUGAGGAAGGUGGGGAUGACGUCAAAUCAGCACGGCCCUUACGUCCGGGGCUACACACGUGUUACAAUGGGGCAUACAGCGAGUUGGAUGUGCGCAAGUACGUCCGGAUCAAUAAAGUGCCUCUCAGUUCGGACUGGGGUCUGCAACCCGACCCCACGAAGCUGGAUUCGCUAGUAAUCGCGCAUCAGCCAUGGCGCGGUGAAUACGUUCCCGGGCCUUGUACACACCGCCCGUCAAGCCAUGAAAGCCGGGGGCGCCUGAAGUCCGUGACCGCGAGGGUCGGCCUAGGGUGAAACCGGUGAUUGGGGCU